ensembl:lncRNA
UAAAUCUACUUUUUUUCCCGUCCACUAUAUGAGGUAAAUAUUUGCUGAUAGGAGUAGGGGAAAAAAGACAUGCAAAGUACUCUCCCCAGAGUGCAGAGAUGAAAAGAAAAAAAAAAUCAUGAAAAACAAAUAAUGAGGAAAAAUAUGCAGCUUUAGCUAAUUAAUGUUGAACACCAGGAUUAUGACUUGUAUAAAUGCAUUAAGAGCCACAGCAUAAUUUUUGAUGAGAGUGAGUAUGCAGUGCAACUUUAGGACAUUCCAUGUGGGACACAGUUUUAAAUAAUUGAAAUUCAUGUUUGCAUAAAUUAUUGUUUUAAACAGGGGCCACGUCCAUUGCAAAUGAUGAUUAGCAUUAAAACACAAGCUGGUGGAACAGAAAGCGGUCAUUAGCAAGUUUUUCUCACAGCUGUCAGAAACCUUCUGUCACCCUGUGCCAAGACAGCGUUCCGCCCACUGCUAUUUCACGCCAGGGACAGAGAGAGACAGAGAGACAGAGAGAGAGAGAGUGAGAGAGAGAGGGAGAGAAGGAGAGCAUGCCGGGCGCCAGAAGCGGCAUCAACAAACAGGUGAAGCAGGCUGA